GACGUACGCUGGCGGCGUGCUUAACACAUGCAAGUCGAGCGGAAAGGCCCUUUCGGGGGUACUCGAGCGGCGAACGGGUGAGUAACACGUGAGUAAUCUGCCCCUGGCUUUGGGAUAGCCACCGGAAACGGUGAUUAAUACCGGAUACGACCACUUCUCGCAUGGGAUGGUGGUGGAAAGUUUUUCGGCCAGGGAUGUGCUCGCGGCCUAUCAGCUUGAUGGUGAGGUAAUGGCUCACCAUGGCUUCGACGGGUAGCCGGCCUGAGAGGGUGACCGGUCACACGGGGACUGAGACACGGCCCAGACUCCUACGGGAGGCAGCAGUGGGGAAUAUUGGACAAUGGGCGGAAGCCUGAUCCAGCAACGCCGCGUGAGGGUUGACGGCCUUCGGGUUGUAAACCUCUUUCAGCAGGGACGAAGCGCAAGUGACGGUACCUGCAGAAGAAGCACCGGCCAACUACGUGCCAGCCGCCGCCGUAA
rnacentral:rRNA from 1 species